rnacentral:lncRNA from 8 species
GGUGAUCACAACAGAUUUCCUAUAUCCUCCACGCUCUGAAAACCAUCUAUCUAGCCGAUGCCUUCACUGCGCCCGUGGGCUCAAUGCUAUGGUGUGGCAUGGAAACGUUGGGUUUCCCACAAAUGUCCCACUGCUUCCCCGCGAAGGCUAGCCUACUACAGAGCCUCACGCUCUCUAAACAAGACAUCUAAUCCAUACGCGUUACGAACUAUAUAAUGUGCAUUAUGUGCCCUCCCACAAUACGUCGCGCAAAAUAGCUGUAGUGCAGUUCAUCAUUAGGAUGGUAAAAGUGGUGGUGAGAGUACCAGCAAAAGACAGCUGGUGCCGCCCACGCCACGAUCUGAUGUCUCCUCCAACAUGGGUAGGUGUGAGGGUAUCCGUCAAAAUCAGAUGUUUCAUGCAUUACGAUACUCAUUUGACUGCAACAUAUUACGCGGCAACAUAUUACAUACAGUGCAUAUGGUUCUAUGAGUUCUAAUAAUGUAAUGAUUUGACCUGCACUGUCAUGCACUCGGCUUUUCAUAACCGUAUCAAAUUAUUGAUUGCUGAUUUGGUGAACCCCAAAAAUGAGCAAAUCAAUGGAUUUAUUUUUUCAAUGAAAGAACCCAGUAUAUAGUAGUUCGAAUGAGGGCAUUUCACCAAGUCAAUACCUGGAGGCGACAGUCCGAACCCAGAGGGACAGUCACAGAUGAAGCGAUCAAGAAAAAGGUAACCGGGAUGCCACAAGGAAACACCAGGGAAGCCACCACCGCGACAACGAAACGCACCUGCGCUUUGAAUGAACUUGGCCCCAGCAGAACAGGCCCAGCUCUAACAGUGGUCUUCUCUACAGGCUGUCCUGCUCCGCUCCCCUUUGGCACCAGCUCCUGCCACAACAAAAGAGGAUUCCUCUGAAGAGUUCCUGCUGGAUACAGAUAAUUUGAAAGAUACCACACACAUACUUGUGUGCGCAGGCACUAACUCAUUCUGUCUCUCUCACACACACACACACACACACACACACACACACACACACACACACACACACACACACACACACACACACACACACACACACACACACACACACACACACUUGAUUUAGGUUCAUGUAUAGUAAAGACUUUGUCAUUAAAAUAAUGUUGUGCCUCGUUCAGAUCUUCCAAGCACACCUCUGCCAGCCACAUCACCACUGCCCAUGAUAGCUUCUCCACUGGACCCAUCAAGAGAUGAGGUUGCCUCUUCAUCUUGGACCACGACCGAUGGACAGAGCCCCUUAAAGCUGCCAGUGAUGUCCUACUGGCCAAGCACCAUGGGGAGGAAGAGAUCCUGAAGUGGGUAGAUUUGCUUUGCUCUCAACACCAGCCCAGAGAAGCUCCUAGGGACACACAGCUGUGACAUUAUUUUACUGCAGAGAGUAAAAUGGUCAGUGUCCCAGUCACGUACCCUACCACCUGCACUUACACAGCAGAAAGCCUCACCAAUUCAAGGAUACCAUUUCAGAAUUUUGCUGCCGCUGCCUUCUUUCAAUGGGAGCUGGAGGCCUCGAAGCAGAGGGAGGCAGUGAGGAAGGAGCAAACUGAGGAAAGAGAAAAUCCUUAGAGCAACAUCCCUCUGUCCGUCUGUACAGGUUCUGCCACCAGUCGCUGAAACAAGGCUCCAACAGCCAUCACACACAUACCGGCUUUCCUUGAGUGGCAGGAAAAUAUCUACUGCCUAGCCAAAGUUUUUUCUCUGUACCUGACACAGGGCAUUGGCGGAUGCGCCAACAGUCUGCCUUUUAUGAGACUGAAAAGUAGAGAUGGAUGGUGGGGAAGGGAGAGUGACUGAAAUAAAUAGGAGCUGAAGAUUUCCAUUGAUGGAAGUGGUUUGUAUUUAUUUCACAGGUACUGUCCAUUCUUUUACUUUACUGUACAUACGUUGCUGUAUAUCACUGGAUAUAUUAUCAGGGCUGUAAAGUACUUAGGUAAAAAUACUUUAAAGUACUACUUAAGUAGUUUUUUGGGGUGUCUGUACUUUACUUCAUUAUUUAUAUUUUUGACAACUUUUACUUUUACUUCACUACAUUCCUAAAAAAAAGAUUGUACUUCUUACUCCAUACAUUUUCCCUGGCACCCAAAAGUACUCAUUACAUUUUGAAUGCUUAGCAGGAAAGGAAAAUGGUCCAAUUAACACACUUAUCAGGAGAAUCUCUACUGCCUCUGAUCUGGCGGACUCACUAAACACAAAUUCUUCGUAUGUAAAUGAUGUCUGAGUGUUGGAGUGUGCCCCUAGUUGUCUGUAAAUUUGAAAAAAAAACACAUUGUGUCAUCUGGUUUGCUUAAUAUAAGGAAUUUGAAAUUAUUUAUACUUUUACUUUUGAUACUUAAGUAUAUUUAAAACCAAUACUUUUAGACUUUUACUCAUCUAGUAUUUUACUGGAUAACUCACUUCUACUGAGUCAUUUUCU